rnacentral:rRNA from 1 species
CUGCGGAAGAAUCAUUA